GACGAACGCUGGCGGCGUGCUUAACACAUGCAAGUCGAACGAAGUGGCGAACGGGUGAGUAACGCGUAAUCAACCUGCCCUUCAGAGGGGGACAACAGUUGGAAACGACUGCUAAUACCGCAUACUGAAGGAGGGGAUUGCGGCUGAUUAGCUGGUUGGAGGGGUAACGGCCCACCAAGGCGAAGAUCAGUAGCCGGUCUGAGAUGGUGACCGCGCCAAUUGGGACUGAGACACGGCCCAGACUCCGACGGGAGUCAGCAGUGGGUAAUCUUCCGCAAUGGACGAAAGUCGUACGGAGCAACGCCGCGUGAGUGAUGACGGCCUUCGGGUUGUAAAGCUCUGUUAAUCGGGACGCGGUACCGGAAUAGAAAGCCACGGCUAACUACGUGCCAGCAGCCGCGGUAAUUC
rnacentral:rRNA from 1 species